rnacentral:tRNA from 1 species
CAAAACCUCCCGCUUACACCGAGAAUAUAUCUGUGAAAAUCAGAUUACUUUGA